rnacentral:rRNA from 1 species
GAUGAACGCUGGCGGCGUGCUUAACACAUGCAAGUCGAACGGAAAGGCCCUGCUUUUGUGGGGUGCUCGAGUGGCGAACGGGUGAGUAACACGUGAGUAACCUGCCCUUGACUUUGGGAUAACUUCAGGAAACUGGGGCUAAUACCGGAUAGGAGCUCCUGCUGCAUGGUGGGGGUUGGAAAGGUUCGGCGGUUGGGGAUGGACUCGCGGCUUAUCAGCUUGUUGGUGGGGUAGUGGCUUACCAAGGCUUUGACGGGUAGCCGGCCUGAGAGGGUGACCGGCCACAUUGGGACUGAGAUACGGCCCAGACUCCUACGGGAGGCAGCAGUGGGGAAUAUUGCACAAUGGGCGGAAGCCUGAUGCAGCAACGCCGCGUGCGGGAUGACGGCCUUCGGGUUGUAAACCGCUUUCGCCUGUGACGAAGCGUGAGUGACGGUAAUGGGUAAAGAAGCACCGGCUAACUACGUG